AUUCUCAAAGACACAUCCAGAAGUGAGUGUCCUAGAUGACUCCCUAUCCAGUGACGUUGCCAAUGAAGACUGACCAUCGCGCCACCUUUUCUAUCUGAAUGUCCUAGGAUCCUCCCCAAGGCUUAGGGGUCACGCCCAGGAAGUUUGCUGCAUGAAUUAAGGGGAACAGGAACAAGGGUCCAGUCCAGGUGCCCACAGCUGUCUGGCAGGGAGGAAAUACACAGAAGCAGUUCACACUGGGAAGUUUAAUGGAGGAGAGAAGAUCUACCCUAAGUGUGGGCACCACCAGCCAGCGAACUGGGAUCCUGGACUGAAGAGGAGAAGACACUGAGUACCAGCGUCAUCUCUCUCUGCUUCCUGACUGCAGAAGCAAGUGUUAGGUUUAGCUUCUCGUGCAUAAUAGGAAAGUGGUUUACCACCGGGCUACAUUCCCAGCCCACAGACACCUGAAAUCUUGCAAUGAACUAGGA
ensembl:lincRNA Gm29282 predicted gene 29282